rnacentral:rRNA from 1 species
UACAGAGGUCUCAAGCGUUGUUCGGAUUCAUUGGGCGUAAAGGGUGCGUAGGUGGCGCCGUAAGUGGGGUGUGAAAUCUCGGGGCUUAACUCCGAAACUGCAUUCCAUACUGCGGUGCUUGAGGACUGGAGAGGAGACUGGAAUUUACGGUGUAGCGGUGAAAUGCGUAGAUAUCGUAAGGAAGACCAGUGGCGAAGGCGGGUCUCUGGGCCGAUACUGACGCUGAGGAGCGAAAGCGUGGGGAGCGAACAGG